GGUGCUUUGAUCCAUCAAACUCCACCUCAGUUCCUGCGUACUUCGAGUAGAUGACUUGGGCACCAGUCUUCACACUAAUGUCCACUUUGGUUUUGCCAGCUGAAUGACCCUCCCCAACAGCAACCACCUCACCUCCAUUAGGUUUCGACUGAACUGAUACUGGAAGUAGGAUACCACCAACAGUCUUCUCCUCUGCAGUCUUAAUCU
rnacentral:misc_RNA from 1 species